rnacentral:tRNA from 1 species
GCUUCCUUAGCUCAGUUGGUAGACCGUUGGAUUACAAAUCCGGAAGUCGUAGGUUCAUAUCCCACAAAUA